rnacentral:rRNA from 1 species
AACGAACGCUGGCGGCAGGCCUAACACAUGCAAGUCGAGCGCCCCGCAAGGGGAGCGGCAGACGGGAGAGUAACACGUGGGAACAUGCCCUUCAGUACGGAACAACCAAGGGAAACUUUGGCUAAUACCGUAUACGCCCGUAAGGGGAAAGAUUUAUCGCUGAAGGAUUGGCCCGCGUCUGAUUAGCUAGUUGGUGGGGUAAUGGCCCACCAAGGCGACGAUCAGUAGCUGGUCUGAGAGGAUGAUCAGCCUCACUGGGACUGAGACACGGCCCAGACUCCUACGGGAGGCAGCAGUGGGGAAUAUUGGACAAUGGGCGCAAGCCUGAUCCAGCCAUGCCGCGUGAGUGAUGAAGGCCUUAGGGUUGUAAAGCUCUUUCGUCAGGGAAGAUAAUGACGGUACCUGAAGAAGAAGCCCCGGCUAACUUCGUGCCAGCCGCCGCAGUAAGAC